ensembl:lncRNA
AUGGGGGGAGGGGUGAUUUGGACAAGAAACAAACCCUGCUUUCACUUACAGGUGCUCGCAAGGGCCAGUACCUUGAAGAAACUCUGGAAUAAAUACAUCUGGGCCUUUGAAAAUGGAGACAAGACGACCUGGAAAUCUGCGUGCUCAUUAAGAUUACAUGGCUACAGGCUACAGCACCUUUGGAGAGUCCUUCUGUUAACACUCUCAGUAGCUUCUCCCCAUCUCCCUGUGCUCACAGGCAUCUUCCUGCAGACAGGUCUUCUUCAUAUUACAAAAGAAGCCAGAGCACAUCACCUUUCUGCAUGUCUGCCAUGUUCUUCAAACAGUGGGCUGGCGCCAGAUAUGUGUCACAUGGUCAAGGUAAGUGACACAGCUGCAGGCAGCCUUGCCCCAGGCCCUUCUGAGGCAGGUCCCUGUCUGCUGGCUGAGUCCUGAGCUUGGGAGGUGUGUAUCCUGUAAACAACAGUUUGGUGCUAAGGUUCCCCUUCUUUGUGGCCAUGAGACCAGACCUCUGCUCCCAUUUUAUCUCUGUUUUUCUUCAGAGCUUCCUACCACCCUUGGGCAGGGGACUGUGGGAGAUUCUCAGAGCCAUCUGCCUUGACAGCACAGAGGGAGUUAUAAGCACUCUCGUUUGGCAUCCUGUCAGCCCCAACCCACCAUGAUGACCUCAAACUGCUCGUGCCAGACCUCCUCAUGAUAGGACCUUCCCAAGGACUUUUUCUGUAAGGUAUGCAGAAAUGCUCCCUGCAGCUUAGACAAUUGGAAGAUGGGAGAAAAAAAAAAAAAAAACCACUAGGCCCAGCUCCACUAUUUCGCUUUAUCUCCCCACGCCACCCUAUAGCCUUCUUUGUCAGGAUGCUGAAUGCUUUGGUCCCCAUCUUCACAUGCCUGUACUAUGGACUGGCCAGUCUGGGGCCCUGUGUGCGUGCAGCUCUACCUGUGGUGGAAGUGACAUUUAACCAUCCUUCAGCAGGUAAGAAAGACCCAUCAGCUCCAGGGGUCUUGGCUGAGUCCUGGGUUCUAUUCUUAGUUGCACCAGUGAUGUGGUAUCUGAACACAAACAAGCCCUUCUUAACGCUGUUCUUCCUUAGUUUCUAAACUUGUAAGGUUCUCAGUAACCAUCUUGUCAAUCCUAGAACCAACCCUAAGUCACUGACCUGAUGUGGGACCUGGAGCAAGUGACUUCCACACUUCAGACAUCAGUCUAAUCCAUGAAGUAAGGGGGGUGGGCUAUAUGACCUCAAAGCACUAAUAUCCUGAGAGCCUGGGAUAACUGAUGACCCUUCAUGUGACCAGAGGGUGCCUUGUGGUUUGGGGAGUGCCAUUGCCAGCUGGUGGUAGCAGCCUGAGGUAUUCCUCAGGCCGCCUAGGAUUGAUUGAGUCCAUCAUCAAUGUUCACAAGACAUGGCUGGAUUGGUGCAAAUGGGGAGCCAGAACUGGGAGAAGGAUCAGGAAGACUCUUGGGAUCAUAAAUCGGGAGAAAAUGGGGGCAAUGCCUCACCAUCCCCCUGCCGGUAGACAGGGAAGUGAAGACAAGAGGAGUCAAGGGUAACGUUCUUCCAGUUCCUCAGCACUGCUCACUGCUCUCCUGUUUAUGUUCUCUCAUGCUUUCCUUCACCCAGGGUCGGUUGCCACCGUUGCCCACUCCUCCUACAGCCACUUCACUGAGUGCUCCUUCCCUGAUGGGUUCAACAUGGCGGUCCUCCUCUGCAGCCUCAGUGUCAUCAGCCUUUUCCUCAACUGUCACCACCAGACAUACCUGAGGGGCAAGCGGGAGAAGCUGACUUCAGGGGCAGGACCCAAGGACUGAAACUAGGAGAGCUGUCCCCACAGAGAGUCAGCAGAAGACAGCGUGGGUCACAGCCCACCUGUGCUGAGCAGAUACCUCUGGGCCUGCAUUUCAUUCUGUGAAGGGUGGAGGAGAAUUGCCUUCUUUCUGAAGUUCAGGAGAACAGAAAUGGACCAAGCUCCUUGCACUCACUUCUGUUACAGCAUUUCUCACAUGGAUUUGUCACUGUUUGAUGUGAGCCCUCUCAGGAGGGACUGUCUUGUUCUCAAUGUUCCCCUCCACCUGGCACAGUACCUUAAUAAAUGUGCAUUUGGGUCCUUGUAUUCCAUGACUGGCCGUCAUGACAUUUGGUGAAGAUCAGGGCUGGUGGCAUGCCUAAAGCCAAGGCUGGCUUGAUAUCCAACCUUGCAGUAGGAAAAGAUGCUAAGAAUAUGCAAGGGUGGGUCUGUUUGCUUUCUAGCAUGGCUGUGUCAAUGUUUGCCCCUGUGUCUCUUCUUGUCUCUUCUCUCUUACCUGCACUUGUAUGAUUCUGUGUGUGUAAAUGGGAGAGGGUUAUGUGUAUAUGUCUAAAUUUUUGUUUUCAAGUAAACAUGCAUGUUUCCAUUUGAGUUUCCCUCAGUGUCAUCUGCUUGUCUCUUCUGUAUGUCUAUGUAAGUGACACAUGGUAACAAAAGCCAACUGGGAUCAAUAUUUUUCCUGUCCCCAAUGGGAAACAUGGAAGUUCCCUGAGAAAUCUGAAUAUAUGUUCCACUGAGGGCCUCCCAAGAGGCAUGUGAGAAAAGGAGAAAUGGGAAAAAUGAAUAUAGCCAUCCACUUCACAGAGAGGGAAACUGAAGACCAGAAAAAGGGAAUAUAUGUCUGAGAUAAUAUAGUAUGGUGGAAGCAAACAUUUGCUGAUCUAUUUAAAACCAGGAGUGGAUUCAUCAGGCUCUGUGCUGACAGCUCAGAGCCUGGAGCCUGCUUCGAUUCUGUGUCUCCCUCUCUCUCUGCCCCUCCCCUCUCAUGCUCUGUCUCUGUACCAAAAAUAAAUAAAAAA